UACGUAGGGUGCAAGCGUUGUCCGGAAUUAUUGGGCGUAAAGCGCACGUAGGCGGCCUGACAAGUCGGGUGUGAAAUCCCUCGGCUUAACCGAGGAAGUGCAUUCGAAACUAUCAGGCUUGAAUACUGAAGAGGGUCUCGGAAUUCCCGGUGUAGAGGUGAAAAUUCGUAGAUAUCGGGAGGAACACCAGUGGCGAAGGCGGAGACCUGGGCAGAUAUUGACGCUGAGGUGCGAAAGCGUGGGGAGCAAACAGG
rnacentral:rRNA from 1 species